rnacentral:rRNA from 1 species
AGUGAACGCUGGCGGUAGGCCUAACACAUGCAAGUCGAACGGCAGCACAGGAGAGCUUGCUCUCUGGGUGGCGAGUGGCGGACGGGUGAGGAAUACAUCGGAAUCUACUCUGUCGUGGGGGAUAACGUAGGGAAACUUACGCUAAUACCGCAUACGACCUUCGGGUGAAAGCCGGGGAUCUUCGGACCUUGCGCGAUUGAAUGAGCCGAUGUCGGAUUAGAUAGUUGGCGGGGUAAAGGCCCACCAAGGCGACGAUCCGUAACUGGUCUGAGAGGACGAUCAGCCACACUGGAACUGAGACACGGUCCAGACUCCUACGGGAGGCAGCAGUGGGGAAUAUUGGACAAUGGGCGCAAGCCUGAUCCAGCCAUACCGCGUGGGUGAAGAAGGCCUUCGGGUUGUAAAGCCCUUUUGUUGGGAAAGAAAUCCAGCUGGCUAAUACCCGGUUGGGAUGACGGUACCCGAAGAAUAAGCACCGGCUAACUUCGUGCCAGCAGCCGCCGUAA